rnacentral:tRNA from 1 species
GGUUCAUUCGUCUAUCGGCGUAGGAUAUCUGACUGUCUCUCAGAAGAGAGGGGUUCAACUCCCCUAUGAACCG